GAAAAAAAUGGAAAAGAUCAUUGAAUAUUAGCUACGAGACAUUCAUAGUUAGAAUUCUUACAAUAUAUUCAUCAUCUAUAUAUGAAAUUUACAUUCAACAAAUAGUCGCGUUUCCACAUACAUAGUCAUUUCGUAGAUAAUUUCCUAAACCAAGCUUCAACGUUAAAAAGAUUUCGGAUCAAGUUAUUCCGCGUUCUUCCACUAUCUUGAGAAGGUGGGCUGAAUUCUCC
rnacentral:lncRNA from 1 species